rnacentral:sRNA from 1 species
CUCAGCUGUCCAUUCUUCCCUCACUGCUCUAUGAACCCAACUGCAUAGAUCCACGCCAUUCGUUCCUUGUGGAGCCGAGUUAAUAGACACUUUUCCGGUGAUUUGUAAACAACCAUGUGCUGAGCUGCAAUAGGUUGUGCUAUCAAGGAGGCAAGACCGAAGUCAGAAACAAGAACCGCAUCGUUUUCAUCGAAUAGUACGUUUGAAGACCGCAAGUUGCCGUGUGGGACAACGUUUUGGAACUUGUGGUUGAGGUGCAGGUACACCAAUGCUCGAGCCACUCCUCUUGCAACUGACAAUCUUGAGUUCCAACUGAACGGUGCCCGGUUUCCGCCUCUAUCUGAAAUGUCA